UACAGAGGGGGCAAGCGUUGUUCGGAAUUAUUGGGCGUAAAGGGCGCGUAGGCGGUUUGGCAAGUCUAGUGUGAAAUCUUCGGGCUCAACUCGAAGUCUGCACUGGAAACUGCCGGGCUUGAGUAUGGGAGAGGUGAGUGGAAUUUCCGGUGUAGCGGUGAAAUGCGUAGAUAUCGGAAGGAACACCUGUGGCGAAAGCGGCUCACUGGACCAUAACUGACGCUGAGGCGCGAAAGCUAGGGGAGCAAACAGG
rnacentral:rRNA from 1 species